UUUUAUCCAAGCUUUUAAUAAAAUUUAUCAAUCUAAGUUUUUUUAAAACGGGCCCAAACCCUAACCCAAAAAAAUAGAAGGCCCAUGGCCCAAAACUUAAACAAAUUUUCGGAUGGAAAAACCCUAGCCCCUAGCCUUUGCGCCGCGAAGCUCCUCACGUAGUUUCAGCACCUUCUCCGCUGCAACGCUACCACAAACCUACAAACAAGCGAAAACAGACACAAAGAAGACCAAAGAAACAGCAAAAGCAAACAAGGCAUAAAUAUAUUAUAUUUUCUGGCUAUAUAAGCUAAGAACACCAAUGUAAAAGGGGGGACUUUUUAAAAAGAAAAAAAUCAAAAAGCAAAAAAAAAAAGGGCUAUCAAUACAAAGAUUAUUAAUCAAAGAAACAUUUCAAAAGGUGUUUCAUUUUUGUUCAUUUCCUAUCUUUAUUGUUUAUUUAUUUAUUUAUUUCAAAUCUAUCUCAUAAAUAUAUAAAAAAGGGAAAUAUUUUACCCGUAUUUUGGCGUUGAUAUCCACGGCGUCCGCUUCUCUGGUCCGAAAGUCGACGGAUCCCCAGUGAUCCGGUUAAAGCUUCGACGGUGGAGGCUAAGAGUCGGAAGUUUUGUGUUUGAUUUAGGGGUUUUCAGGUCCUGAACUUUCUUCCAUGUGAAAGAAGGGUUUAAAUUGGGCUCCGGGCGUCUCUCUGGCCACCACCGGAGGUGGUCAUCGUCGCCGGUACGAUGGGAGGCCAAUGGAGGCUAAUGGAACCCUAGGGCCUGCUUUAGAGAGAAAUGGGGAAUACCCCCUGUUGUUUUUU
rnacentral:lncRNA from 1 species